rnacentral:rRNA from 1 species
CUGCCUUCUAGUGGGGAACAACAGUCCGAAAGGAUUGCUAAUGCCGCAUGUGACCCCUCGGUCUCUGGACCGGGGGCGGAAAGAGGGCGCCCGCAAGGGGCUCUCGCUAGAAGAUGAGUCCGCGGCCCAUCAGCUAGUUGGCGGGGUAAUGGCCCACCAAGGCUUUGACGGGUAGCUGGUCUGAGAGGAUGAUCAGCCACACUGGAACUGAGACACGGUCCAG